UAAAAUAUUCAACAAACCACUUGUUGAGAUAAUAAACAUAUAACCAUGUUAAGUUUUGGUUACAAGUAAUUAGAUAAUAAACACCUACUAAUUGUUUAAUUUGACUCUACAACUAACUAUAUUAUAUAAUAUAUUACAAUAAAUGGCUGCAUGGUUUAUGACUUCAGUGUCAUUUUUAAUAACACCUACUAAUAGAUAUUACAAAGCCACCGAUUCAAGAAGCAACAUGCCCAGGGAUUCAUC
rnacentral:lncRNA from 1 species